rnacentral:rRNA from 1 species
GACCUCAAAUCAGGUAGGACUACCCGCUGAACUUAAGCAUAUCAAUAAGCGGAGGAAAAGAAACUAACAAGGAUUCCCCUAGUAACUGCGAGUGAAGCGGGAAAAGCUCAAAUUUAAAAUCUGACGGUCUUUUGGUCGUCCGAGUUGUAAUCUAGAGAAGUGUUAUCCGCGUUGGACCGUGUACAAGUCUCCUGGAAUGGAGCGUCGUAGAGGGUGAGAAUCCCGUCUUUGACACGGACUACCAGUGCUUUGUGAUGCGCUCUCAAAGAGUCGAGUUGUUUGGGAAUGCAGCUCAAAAUGGGUGGUAAAUUCCAUCUAAAGCUAAAUAUUGGCGAGAGACCGAUAGCGAACAAGUACCGUGAGGGAAAGAUGAAAAGAACUUUGGAAAGAGAGUUAAACAGUACGUGAAAUUGCUGAAAGGGAAACGCUUGAAGUCAG